rnacentral:rRNA from 1 species
AGAACGAACGCUGGCGGCAGGCUUAACACAUGCAAGUCGAACGCUCCGCAAGGAGAGUGGCAGACGGGUGAGUAACGCGUGGGAAUCUACCUAAUUCUACGGAACAACAGUUGGAAACGACUGCUAAUACCGUAUACGCCCUACGGGGGAAAGAUUUAUCGGAAUUAGAUGAGCCCGCGUAAGAUUAGCUAGUUGGUGGGGUAAUGGCCUACCAAGGCGACGAUCUUUAGCUGGUCUGAGAGGAUGAUCAGCCACACUGGGACUGAGACACGGCCCAGACUCCUACGGGAGGCAGCAGUGGGGAAUAUUGGACAAUGGGCGCAAGCCUGAUCCAGCCAUGCCGCGUGAGUGAUGAAGGCCUUAGGGUGUAAAGCUCUUUCAGUGGGGAAGAGUAAUGACGGUACCACAGAAGAAGCCCGGCUAACUUCGUGCCGAGCAGCCGC